rnacentral:rRNA from 1 species
GAUUUCUGGCCUGAAACACUGAGCCGGCCGCGGUUUCGCGUGUCAGUGCUUAGUGUUCUGGCCAUCCUUCCAAUGGCUGCUCAUUCAUCUUCAUUGAUGGGUGAGUGGUAUUGGAUCUUUUACUUUGAAAAAAUUAGAGUGUUUCAAGCAGGCUUUAUGCUAUGAAUACAUUAGCAUGGAAUAAUAAUUUAGGACUUCGGUUCUAUUUUGUUGGUUUCUAGGACUGAAGUAAUGAUUGAUAGGGAUAGUUGGGGGUGCUAGUAUUCAGCGGCCAGAGGUGAAAUUCUCGGAUUCGCUGAAGACUAACUUAUGCGAAAGCAUU